CACGUAGGGCGCAAGCGUUGUCCGGAAUUAUUGGGCGUAAAGAGCUCGUAGGCGGUCUGUUGCGUCCGCUGUGAAAACUCGGGGCUUAACCCCGAGCCUGCAGUGGAUACGGGCAGACUAGAGGUAGGUAGGGGAGAAUGGAAUUCCCGGUGUAGCGGUGAAAUGCGCAGAUAUCGGGAAGAACACCGACGGCGAAGGCAGCUCGCUGGGACGGUACUGACGCUGAGGCGCGAAAGCGUGGGGAGCGAACAGG
rnacentral:rRNA from 1 species